rnacentral:rRNA from 1 species
UACAGAGGUCUCAAGCGUUGUUCGGAUUCAUUGGGCGUAAAGGGUGCGUAGGCGGCGCGGUAAGUCGGGUGUGAAAUUUCGAGGCUUAACUUCGAAACUGCAUUCGAUACUGCCGUGCUUGAGGACUGGAGAGGAGACUGGAAUUUACGGUGUAGCGGUGAAAUGCGUAGAUAUCGUAAGGAAGACCAGUGGCGAAGGCGGGUCUCUGGACAGUUCCUGACGCUGAGGCACGAAGGCCAGGGGAGCGAACGGG